CUCCACCCCAGCUAGAAUAUAAAGAGAUGAUGAAAGAAGUGAUUAAGUGAAACCGACAUCCAGAGACAACAUCGUCCUCCCAGUGCAGGGAUUCAACUGGGAACCGCUACUUCGGUUUCUACUGGGCGAUCAGGAAGAAGACAUCCCUGAGGGCAUUUCACACUCAGCGAUGGGGCUGUGUGCAGUCCUCUGUGUCGUCCUGCUGCUGCUGAGUCCAGCUCUAAGUGAAUCUAAUGGAGACAGUUCCAUUCUCAUAAGAAGUAACGGAUCCUGAAAUCAAAUCAAUGCCUGAAGUGAUUAUGAAAAGUUUGUUACCAUGUUGUUCUUCAAAACAUCUGUUUGGUGAUUGACUGCCAGACAACCAAUCACAUGUCUUUGCUUGUUUCACAACCAGUGCGUCAUUUACUAAGUUACAUGACCAUUGGGGAAAAUACCAUUAAGAAAUCUGGAAUCAUAUAA